GGCUGGUCCAAUGGUAGUGGGUUAUCAGAACUUAUUAACAUUAGUGUCACUAAAGUUGGUAUUCAACCACCCCCCCGCUGCUAAAUUUGACUGGCUUUAA
rnacentral:Y_RNA from 1 species